UACGAAGGGGGCUAGCGUUGCUCGGAAUUACUGGGCGUAAAGGGCGCGUAGGCGGCGCUGCAAGUCAGGCGUGAAAUUCCUGGGCUUAACCUGGGGGCUGCGCUUGAGACUGUGGUGCUAGAGGACGGAAGAGGGUCGUGGAAUUCCCAGUGUAGAGGUGAAAUUUGUAGAUAUUGGGAAGAACACCGGUGGCGAAGGCGGCGACCUGGUCCGUUACUGACGCUGAGGCGCGACAGCGUGGGGAGCAAACAGG
rnacentral:rRNA from 1 species